rnacentral:lncRNA from 1 species
AUUGCCUCUUAAUUGUCCCCAUAUUUUUCCUUCAGUUGUCUUGUUAAAGCCUGCUUUAAAGGAAGAGGUCAAUAUUGUUACUGUGGGCUCAAACGAGCCUUUACGUGAUAUUAUCAGCACCAGGGGAUCAGCCCCUGAAGUCUUUUACACCGAGCCAAGCAUCCCUGUGAAGAAUUGA